GCGCGAAAACUUUACAAUGCGGGAAACCGUGAUAAGGAAACCCCGAGUGCCAGCAUAGGCUGGCUGUCCGCCAGUGUAAAUAACUGGUGAAGAAAGGGCCGGGCAAGACCGGUGCCAGCCGCCGCGGUAAUACCGGCGGCUCGAGUGGUGGCCACUAUUACUGGGCUUAAAGGGUCCGUAGCUUGAUAUGCAAGUCUCUUGAGAAAUCCGCCGGCUUAACUGGCGGGCGUUCAGGGGAAACUGCAUUUCUAGGGACCGGGAGAGGUGAGAGGUACUGCCGGGGUAGGAGUGAAAUCCUGUAAUCCCGGUGGGACCACCUAUAGCGAAGGCAUCUCACCAGAACGGGUCCGACAGUGAGGGACGAAAGCUGGGGGAGCAAACCGGAUUAGAUACCCGGGUAGUCCCAGCUGUAAACGAUGCGCGUUAGGUGUGUCAGUGACCACGUGUCACUGAGGUGCCGAAGGGAAACCGUGAAACGCGCCGCCUGGGGAGUACGGUCGCAAGGCUGAAACUUAAAGGAAUUGGCGGGGGAGCACCACAACGGGUGG
rnacentral:rRNA from 1 species